UUUAUUGGAGAGUUUGAUCCUGGCUCAGGAUGAACGCUGGCGGCGUGCCUAAUACAUGCAAGUCGAGCGAAUGGAUUAAGAGCUUGCUCUUAUGAAGUUAGCGGCGGACGGGUGAGUAACACGUGGGUAACCUGCCCAUAAGACUGGGAUAACUCCGGGAAACCGGGGCUAAUACCGGAUAACAUUUUGAACCGCAUGGUUCGAAAUUGAAAGGCGGCUUCGGCUGUCACUUAUGGAUGGACCCGCGUCGCAUUAGCUAGUUGGUGAGGUAACGGCUCACCAAGGCAACGAUGCGUAGCCG
rnacentral:rRNA from 1 species